CCGAGUUAUACAACUCAUCCAACCCUGUGAACAUACCUAUAACGUUGCCUCGGCGGGAACAGACGGCCCCGUAACACGGGCCGCCCCCGCCAGAGGACCCCCCUAACUCUGUUUCUAUAAUGUUUCUUCUGAGUAAACAAGCAAAUAAAUUA
rnacentral:misc_RNA from 1 species